AUUGAACGCUGGCGGCAUGCUUUACACAUGCAAGUCGAACGGUAACAGGCCGCAAGGUGCUGACGAGUGGCGAACGGGUGAGUAAUGCAUCGGAACGUGCCCAGUCGUGGGGGAUAACGCAGCGAAAGCUGUGCUAAUACCGCAUACGAUCUAUGGAUGAAAGCGGGGGACCGUAAGGCCUCGCGCGAUUGGAGCGGCCGAUGUCAGAUUAGGUAGUUGGUGGGGUAAAGGCCUACCAAGCCGACGAUCUGUAGCUGGUCUGAGAGGACGACCAGCUACACUGGGACUGAGACACGGCGCAGACACCUACGGGAGGCAGCAGUGGGGAAUUUUGGACAAUGGGCGCAAGCCUGAUCCAGCAAUGCCGCGUGCAGGAAGAAGGCCUUCGGGUUGUAAACUGCUUUUGUACGGAACGAAACGGUCUGGGUUAAUACCCUGGGCUAAUGACGGUACCGUAAGAAUAAGCACCGGCUAACUACGUGCCAGCAGCCGCAGUAACAC
rnacentral:rRNA from 1 species